GCUCAGAAAAAGAAAAAGAAAGAAAGAAAAAAAGCAGCAGCAGAAAGAGCAAAGAGCUUUGCGACAAUGUUGGUUAAGAGAAUGGAGAUUUGCAUAGAGCUAGUGAAAUUCGCUAUAAAGUUUGUCAUUGCUCAGGUCGAGAAGGUGAUUAACGAAAACCUCCGCCACCGCAGGCCGCCCCCGCCGGUGGCAAUGAGGAUGCGGUCUUUGUCCCCUCCGCUCCCAUUCGUCGGGCCUCUUUAAAGAAUUCUGUUUUUGUAAAAAAAAAAACAUUGCAGGUUUCGACCAUUUGGUAAUUUGCUCUUUCUAUUGCUAGCACUGGUUUCGAGAUUUGAAUGUGUACUAAACUGUUCAAUUGUACUUUCUGUAUUUUAGAAUUUAUUCUAUUUUUAUUUUCCGGAAUUUAAUGGAUUUUUAUUUUUCAAAAUUUCAGAUAUAAAUGAUAAUGCCGUUAAAA